rnacentral:rRNA from 1 species
UGGGGGAUAUUGCACAAUGGGGGAAACCCUGAUGCAGCGACGCCGCGUGGAGGAAGAAGGUUUUCGGAUUGUAAACUCCUGUCGUUAGGGACGAUAAUGACGGUACCUAACAAGAAAGCACCGGCUAACUACGUGCCAGCAGCCGCGGUAAAACGUAGGGUGCAAGCGUUGUCCGGAAUUACUGGGUGUAAAGGGAGCGCAGGCGGGAAGACAAGUUGGAAGUGAAAACCAUGGGCUCAACCCAUGAAUUGCUUUCAAAACUGUUUUUCUUGAGUAGUGCAGAGGUAGAUGGAAUUCCCGGUGUAGCGGAGGAAUGCGUAGAUAUCGGGAGGAACACCAGUGGCGAAGGCGGUCUACUGGGCACCAACUGACGCUGAGGCUCGAAAGCAUGGGUAGCAAACAGG